AGAGAUUGGGUCUGCUAGACUACAAACUACAAUUUCCGAUUUAGCAGACCCAU
ensembl:ncRNA Y43H11AL.5 ncRNA